UGAGCAACCUACCGAAAUGUGGGGAUAGCCGGCCUAACGGCCGAGUAAUACCGCAUACGCUCUCGAUGAGGCAUUUCAUUGAGAGGAAACCUACGGGACAUUUCGAGGGCUCGCGGCCUAUCAGCUAGUUGGCGAGGUAAUGGCUCACCAAGGCGACGACGGGUAGCCGGCCUGAGAGGGCGAUCGGCCACACUGGGACUGAGACACGGCCCAGACCUCCUACGGGAGGNAG
rnacentral:rRNA from 1 species